ensembl:lncRNA
UGAUUGUGGCCUACACACACAUGUGGGCAUACACACCAACACACAUGCGCGUACACACAUACACAUCACCUCUCUUACUUUUGUGUCACAUUGGAGUCGGGUUCAAGUAUGACUGACUAGUUCCUAGAGUUCAGGUUCAGUGAGUUCUCUAUGUGGCGUCUCCGGUUAUAACUCACCAAUAGGUGGCUUUUUAAAAUACCUUCAGACACUGCAAAGAGUAGUGUUUCAAACGAAUGACAAGGUGGACACUUUGAGAAGAAAAAAAAGGGGUGAAAAGGGGAAAAAAGGAGAAAAAAAAUCACACUUUUCAAUCUUACCCUUGCUCCUUCAAACAACGAGCCGAGUAUGAAAAGUCCUCGUCUUUAACUUUAAGACAAGUCUUAGUUAAAUAGGAAUUAUUUCCCCCUGGUGUAGCCUAUACGUCUGACAUUUACACUUUGGGUCAAUGUGUCCCAGAGGGGCAUAAUUCAGUCCACUGUGUGUGCGUGCAUAUGUUUGCCUAUGCGUGCGUGUGUGUCUGUGUGCGCGCUCACUGCCCAUGCCUCCUGUGGCUAGCCCUCAAUAUGAUUUAUGGCUAGCUGACUCACUAACCGCCAGACUCACUGAGGUACUGUGUACUGUGCCGUUUAGCCUAGUGUGGAGUGGAGUCACUGCAUGUGUAAUGUGGACUGUAUGUGUAGUGUGUGUGUGUGUAUGUGUGUGCGUGUUUCUAUGGUGUAUUUGUCAUAUUUUCAUUUGUGAUUAGGGAUAUGUAUUUUGUCUGUAGGUAGUUUUUUAUCUACGGUGUAUUUUAGUAUGUAUCUAGAGUGUUAGUGUGUAUAAAACAUGUAUUAAGGUGUGUCUAGAGUGAAGUAAGCAUAUGUGUAUUUAGUGUGUGUAUAGAGUGUAUUGUGUAUCUAGGGUGUUUUAGUGUAUCUAAUAUGUAUUUCAUGUAUUAAAAGCCUCAGCUAGCUGGCCAGUGUUCAGAGGCUGUUCCACCAGGGAAGGAAAGUGGGCAGUGUGGUUUGAGAGAACUGUCUGCUUUCUAUGAUCUGAACAGCAGGAGAGAGCCAGUGUGGUCACCCAGCCAGCAAAUAAGGUUCCGCGAACCCUAUGUUUCUUAGAGCUUGAGGCCGGUGACGACGCGCAGCUGGAGCCGCGCGUCGGUGGGGAGGGGUACUGACACGACUUCUGCCGAAGUCGAUGCCUCUCCUUGUUCGGGCAGUGCUUGGCGGUCGACGUCACCGGUCUUCUAGCCAUCAUUGAUCCAUUUUUAAUUUUCCAUUGGUUUUGUCUUGUCUUGUCUUCCUACACACCUGGUUCCAAUCCCAUUCAUUAUUAUGUUGUGUAUUUAACCAUCUGUUUCCCCUCAUGUCCUUGUCAGAGAUUGUUUGUUUGUGUAGUUUGUAUUGGUGCGCGUCGGGUCCUCGUACCCACUUUAUUUUGAUUAGGUAUCAUGGUUUUGGAGCUGUGUUUUUAAGUUAUUAAACUACUCCAUUAUACCAUG